GUGUCAGCCGCCGCGGUAAUACGGAGGGUGCUAGCGUUGUUCGGAAUUAUUGGGCGUAAAGCGCGUGUAGGCGGUCGAGUAAGUCAGAUGUGAAAGCCUUCCGCUUAACGGAAGAAGUGCAUUUGAAACUGCUCGGCUGGAGUACGGGAGAGGAGAGUGGAAUUCCCGGUGUAGAGGUGAAAUUCGUAGAUAUCGGGAGGAACACCAGUGGCGAAGGCGGCUCUCUGGUCCGAUACUGACGCUGAGACGCGAAAGCGUGGGGAGCAAACAGGAUUAGAUACCCUGGUAGUCCACGCCGUAAACGAUGGGCACUAGGUGUAGGAGGUAUUGACCCCCUCUGUGCCGAAGCUAACGCAUUAAGUGCCCCGCCUGGGGAGUACGGCCGCAAGGCUAAAACUCAAAGGAAUUGGCGGGG
rnacentral:rRNA from 1 species